rnacentral:rRNA from 1 species
GGGAACAUACCCUUUUCUACGGAAUAGCUCUGGGAAACUGGAAUUAGUACCGUAUACGCCCUACGGGGGAAAGAUUUAUCGGGGAAGGAUUGGCCCGCGUUGGAUUAGCUAGUUGGUGGGGUAAAGGCCUACCAAGGCGACGAUCCAUAGCUGGUCUGAGAGGAUGAUCAGCCACAUUGGGACUGAGACACGGCCCAAACUCCUACGGGAGGCAGCAGUGGGGAAUAUUGGACAAUGGGCGCAAGCCUGAUCCAGCCAUGCCGCGUGAGUGAUGAAGGCCUUAGGGUUGUAAAGCUCUUUCACCGAUGAAGAUAAUGACGGUAGUCGGAGAAGAAGCCCCGGCUAACUUCGUGCCAGCAGCCGCGGUAAUACGAAGGGGGCUAGCGUUGUUCGGAAUUACUGGGCGUAAAGCGCACGUAGGCGGAUAUUUAAGUCAGGGGUGAAAUCCCAGAGCUCAACUCUGGAACUGCCUUUGAUACUGGGUAUCUUGAGUAUGGAAGAGGUAAGUGGAAUUGCGAGU